AGCUUUAAGUGUGGUGUUUUAAAUAAGGCAAAGAAUAUUCCUGCUAAAGCUGUAGAAUUUUUAAGUACUGUAAAUAAUGUAAUUAUAUUACCCCUUUUCAUAUCAUUACAUACCUAAAGAAAUCUGGCUUUUUGCAUCCUGCCUUGGGUCCCUUUUUUUCAUCCUAAACGAAAGAAUCCCACAAUGCUUUGCUCUUCCAAUACAAAAGUGAUCUUUUUCUCUUGAAGAGUUUUUGGUCACUGCACGUCAAGUCAAUCGACAAGGGCUGGCUA
rnacentral:lncRNA from 1 species